UUUCCGUAGGUGAACCUGCGGAAGGAUCAUUAUCACGUUUCCACGUCCAACAACCGCGAACCGUUUUUCCUGGUGAAACACGUGUGGAGCUUCACGUUCCACAGCCGUAUUGAAAGCGCUUUGGGCCUUCGGGUCAGGUUUCGGGCUUUCCUUACAGCCAGUGUCCACUGGGCGUUUUCACGCAAACCACCAACCCCUUUAACAACAACGUGUUAUAUGAAAUGGAACUGACCUGUUCUUCCUUCGCAAGUCCACUGGAUGCGCGAAGACGAACUAAUUAUUUAAACUUUGUACAACUCUUAGCAACGGAUACCUUGGCUCUC
rnacentral:misc_RNA from 1 species